rnacentral:rRNA from 1 species
CCUGAACGCUGGCGGCGUGGCUAAGACAUGCAAGUCGAACGGGCACCCGCAAGGGUGUCAGUGGCGGACGGGUGAGUAAUGUAUCGCUAACGUGCCCCGGAGCCUGGGAUAGCCGGCCGAAAGGCCGGGUAAUACCAGAUGAGACCACGGCCAGGCAUCUGGCAGUGCUCAAAGCCGCAAGGCGCUCCGGGAGCGGGCGAUAUCGUAUCAGGUAGUUGGCGGGGUAACGGCCCACCAAGCCGACGACGCGUAGCUGGUCUGAGAGGACGGCCAGCCACAUCGGGACUGAGACACUGCCCGGACUCCUACGGGGGCGUGCAGUAACGAAUCUUCCGCAAUGCACGAAAGUGUGACGGAGCGACGCCGCGUGUGGGACGAAGUCCUC